GAUUAUGGCUCAGGAUGAACGCUGGCGGCGUGCCUAACACAUGCAAGUCGAGCGGGAAGCCGGAACAUGUAGAGAUAUAUGAGAAGGCAUCCUAGCGGCGGACGGGUGAGUAACACGUGAGGAACCUGCCUUACACAGGGGAAUAACACCGUGAAAACGGUGCUAAUACCGCAUAACACCGCACUAUGGCAUCAUAGAGCGGUCAAAGGAGAAAUCCGGUGUAAGAUGGCCUCGCGCCCGAUUAGUUAGUUGGUGGGUAAUGGCCUACCAAGACUGCGAUCGGUAGCCGGACUGAGAGGUCGAACGGCCACAUUGGAACUGAGAGACGGUCCAGACUCCUACGGGAGGCAGCAGUGGGGAAUAUUGGGCCAAUGGGGGAAACCCUGACCCAGCAACGCCGCGUGAAGGAAGAAGGCCUUCGGGUUGUAAACUUCUUUGAUCAGGGAAGAAACAAAUGACGGUACCUGAAAAACAAGCCACGGCUAACUACGUGCCAGCCGCCGC
rnacentral:rRNA from 1 species